CACAGACUGGUAUUGGACUCUUGGUGGAGUGAGUGUGUGUAUAAAAAGAAACUACUGAAGCCAAGAUCCUUUCUAUGCUGAAAGAGUGCUGUGACACCAACAACCUAUAAUGAUUAAUAAUCAUGGUACUUGAUGCCAUGAGUGAAUGUGGAAGCAGGGUGGAAUUCUAGGACAUCCAAGCUACACAUGCCAGAGUACUGAGGGACAAAUUGAAUUUAAACACAGCCCAGAAAUAAUGCAAAAUAAAAGCAAUUAGAUGUGGGAUAAUUUAGUCAGAACAAUCCCAGAUGGUUUUUUAGAGUUUUCUAAAAUUGAGACACCACACAAAUAUCAGGAGCAACCUGUCUGCACCUGAUGUUUGAAGAGCAUAUGUGGAAAUAUCAAAAUGGAAUACAGUUGAUUAAAAAAAAAUGCACAUUAGAGGCAUAGCAUUUAACAUAGUUGAUGGUUCACUACAGUUAUGGCAACAAGGAAAACCACAAAUAUAUUUCUAUAAUUCAGUGGAUUGCAGAUUAAAUAAAGUUUGAAAAUUGAGUAA